UACGAGGGGGGCAAAUGUUGUUCGGAAUCACUGGGCGUAAAGGGAGCGUAGGCGGGUUUUUAAGUCAGGUGUUUAAUCCCGGGGCCCAACCCCGGACCGGCACUUGAAACUGGGAAUCUUGAAUAGGGGAGAGGUCAGUGGAAUUGGGGGUGUAGCGGUGGAAUGCGUAGAGAUCCCCAAGAACACCAGUUGCGAAGGCGGCUGACUGGACCCAUAUUGACGCUGAGGCUCGAAAGCAUGGGGAGCAAACAGG
rnacentral:rRNA from 1 species